AGUGAACGCUGGCGGUAGGCCUAACACAUGCAAGUCGAACGGCAGCACAGUAAGAGCUUGCUCUUACGGGUGGCGAGUGGCGGACGGGUGAGGAAUACAUCGGAAUCUACUUUUUCGUGGGGGAUAACGUAGGGAAACUUACGCCAAUACCGCAUACGACCUACGGGUGAAAGCAGGGGAUCUUCGGACCUUGCGCGAUUGAAUGAGCCGAUGUCGGAUUAGCUAGUUGGCGGGGUAAAGGCCCACCAAGGCGACGAUCCGUAGCUGGUCUGAGAGGAUGAUCAGCCACACUGGAACUGAGACACGGUCCAGACUCCUACGGGAGGCAGCAGUGGGGAAUAUUGGACAAUGGGCGCAAGCCUGAUCCAGCCAUACCGCGUGGGUGAAGAAGGCCUUCGGGUUGUAAAGCCCUUUUGUCGGGAAAGAAAAGCAGCAGGUUAAUACCCCGCUGUUCUGACGGUACCCAAAGAAUAAGCACCGGCUAACUUCGUG
rnacentral:rRNA from 1 species